GAUGUCAAGCAGAAGCCAUCCGCUUCUCACCUUACGGCGUUCGUCGUUAAGGUAUCUUCUGGUCCUGAGCUUAGUUUUUAUGCUCGCGAUUGUUUAGAAGACGGGUGGUAUACAUCCGUCUUUUUUGUUUUGA
rfam:Desulfosporosinus sp. BRH_c37 BRHa_1005697, whole genome shotgun sequence.